rnacentral:rRNA from 1 species
GUAGGGGGCAAGCGUUAUCCGGGUUUACUGGGUGUAAAGGGUGCGUAGGUGGCAGUGCAAGUCAGAUGUGAAAGGCCGGGGCUCAACCCCGGAAGUGCCGUUGAUACUGUCUGGCUAGAAUGAUUCCGCCGUGGGAGGAAUGAGUAGUGUAGCGGUGAAAUGCAUAGAUAUUACUCAGAACACCGAUUGCGAAGGCAUCUCACGAGGGGUUUAUUGACGCUGAGGCACGAAAGCGUGGGGAUCGAACAGGAUUAGAUACCCUGGUAGUCCACGCAGUAAACGAUGAUGGCUAACUGUCGGGCCUAAGGGUUCGGCGGCCAAGCGAAAGCGAUAAGCCAUCCACCUGGGGAGU